rnacentral:antisense_RNA from 1 species
CUUGACCGAUCCCAGCCACAGUGGGCGGUCUUCCGGCCGGUCCUGUCCGUACGUGGCCAAGAGUGCCUGGGCCUC